rnacentral:lncRNA from 1 species
AGUGACGGCUAGGUUUUAGAAAAAUAGAAAAGGAAAAAGGAAAACUGGGAAGAGGGAGCUUCGGCAAAAGAGAGGAAAAGGAAAAGAGAGCAAGAGAGGUGUGGCGGCUCAACAAAAAAAAACAGGGGAGAAGAAAGAAAAACAGAGGGACGACCGAACAAGAAAGCCGAGCAAGAACAAAAGGGGGAAAUCUGGGAAAUUGGAGAGGGUUUCUUGGAAUUAAAUGAGAGAGAGAGCCAGUGAAGAAACAAAAGGGGAAAACAGAGCAACAAAAAAGGGGAUUCGAGUAAGGGCUUCGGCUAGAGGAAAGCGAAAAGAGAAAGAAAAGAAACAAGUUUUGUCUGGGGCCUGAGCAGAAUCAAAGGAAAACAGAGCGGACGGCUGGUAAAGGAAAUAGAGUGAGGAAAAGAAAAUAAAAAGGGGGCUUCAUGAAACAAAAAGGGGGGCUUCGGGCGUUAAGAAAAACAGAGAAAAGAAAGGAUGGCGGACGACGGGGAAAACACAGAGCCACCGCCGCUCGUAGCCAUCACCACUUCACCGACUCCACCGUCGCAGCCUGCAGAUUUUCACCGAGCAAAAGCACGGCAAGCCAUCUCUUUCCCUUUGAAUAUCAGUUUUUCUUUCUUCGUCGAAGAUAAACGCUGGAAUCCCGAACCAUGUCUUGUGAAUUUGAAAUUGCAAUUUUCCUGUUGAUUCUCUGUAAAUUUUUGAUCGCACAUGUUUUCUGUGUUUGUUUGGGCUGAUGUUCUUUGGAUUACUGAAUAAUUUUGGGCCAAUUAUAGCUGCAUUUGAGUAAGGAAUUAGUGAAAAUUUUAAUGUCCCCAACCUGUUCGACGAAAUGCCUAACUAAGCGCUGUAUUGGAAAGAUGAUUUAUCUGUGUCUUUGCGUGAAGAAAAACGAGUAAGAAUUCAUGGUAGAAAGCAGAGUUCCGAGUGACUCUGAUAGGCUUGCUGUUGUUUUCUUUUCUUAUGUUUCGAGUGGCCCUGACGUGCUUGUUGUUGUAUGAAUUCAAAUUGAAAGGGUAUGAGAAGGGGCUUGUGUGAUUUUCGUUUUGAUUGGGAAUGGCUAGAGUAGAAAAUGAAUUUAUGUGGUUUGCUCUGAUCGCGAAAAACAAACGAAAAUGGUUGUCUGAUGUUGAGCCGUUUGGAGAAGAUGAUUAUUUUUUGAUUUACAAUUUUAGUCCUUCCAUUUCCCAUCUCUUUGUAAUUUAACCCCAAAGUCUUAGGACUUCAUAAUUUGACCCCAAGACUUUUAUAAAUGCUUUCAAUAGAGUCCCUGCUGCAAUUGCAAAUUGGUCCUUGAACUUCAUCUUUCCUUCGAUUUUUCCCCCCAAAGUUCUGGAAAUCAUGAUUAGGCCAUAAAAACUUUCUGAUGUUUGCAAUUUAGUCCUUGGCAGCUUUAAUUUUGCAACUUCACUGUUUGUUUAUUUCGAUUAACCAUCAUGCUUUGUUUAAAUUGCACUUAAUUCAUGAUUUUAAGGGUUUUAUAACCAAAGUGAGUUUGUGUUGCAUAUUUCCUUUAAUUUUUCCAAAUAAAUUGGUGCCUUGACCUUUUCUUUAUUUUUGGAGGGUAAAUGAAUAAUUUCACUCCAUUAGGACUCCAACUCAAGGGAGGUACACUCUAUUCUUUAUUUUCAUUUUAUUUGAUCCUAUGUGUAUCUACGUGGCUUAUGUGUGCAAUUGCAUGACUUUAAGUGUUUAUUUCAUUUUCACUUUAUUUACUCCUUUAGUUGCUUAGUUUUCGCUUUAAUUUUAGUUCAAUUUUAUCAUUUGGGAGGCACUCGAAUGCCAAAGUUGUAAUAGAUAGGUUAUUUUAUUUAUUUUUAUUCCGCUUCCCCUCUUAGAUUGUAGUAGGCUUCCCCCCGAAUGUAAUAGAUAGGGAUUUAUUCGUUUUAUUUUCGCUGUGUGUGAUUUGCAUGCCUACGUGCUAUGUGUUACCGCUUUCUUAGGACGUGCAUCUAGAUAUCAUGCCUAUGUGCUAUGUGUCUUAUGUGAUUUAUGCAUUUAUUUGCUUUAUUUUGCUUUAUCUGAUUUUCUUAGACUGUGAUAAAUGCAUGUCAUCACACACUAGUCCAAUGCUAGAUGUGAUUCCUUUCCCGUCACCACACUAGUCCAACGCUAGUUGUGGCUCUUUACUCCGAUUUCUCACUAGUCCAAUGCUAGUGAGGAUUCAUAGACAUGGGCUAGUCCAAUGCUAGACCCUUAGGGACCUCCCUCGUUAGAUCAUGUUUGUAUGAUUACAUUACACUUCAUGCAUAUUUUUCCAUUUUAGGAUCUUAUCAUUUUUACAUAAUAUUUCCUCUAAUAAAAUAUCCCUUACCCCUAUGUAUAUAUAACAUUUAGAUUUGCAUCUCAUUUAGGAAAUUAGGGGGUAGAUUAGUGCAUUUUGCCUGAUUAGACUAGAGAUAACCCCUUGGAUAUGGGAUAUGGACGAGUUUGGCUUUCUAACCUUAGCACGCUUGUAUUCCCUCUAUUUAAAGGGAAAAUUGAGUCACGAACAUUAGUCCCCCGUACCCGACAUGAUGCACUCCUUUAAGACAUGUAUAUUUGUAUGAUUAUUUUAUUCCUUUUCUUUUCUUAGAGUCUCAUAUUUUGCAUUAUUCGUGACUUCUCCAAAGAAUCACUAUUGGGCGUCACAAUUAAUGUGAUUGGCACCAUUCGAGCUUUGAAGAGAAAUUUCGAUCCCCCCG